GAUGAAGAACGUAGCGAAAUGCGAUACGUAAUGUGAAUUGCAGAAUUCAGUGAAUCAUCGAAUCUUUGAACGCAUAUUGCGCUCUUUGGUAUUCCGAAGAGCAUGCUUGUUUGAGUAUCAGUAAACACCUCAAAGCUUUUGGAUUUUUUAAUCGAAAAGCUUUGGACUUGAGCAAUCCCAACACCAAUCUUGUUGAGAUCGGUGGCGGGUUGCUUGAAAUGCAGGUGCAGCUGGACAUUCUCCUGAGCUAAAAGCAUAUUCAUUUAGUCCCGUCAAACGGAUUAUUACUUUUGCUGCAGCUAACAUAAAGGGAGUUUGACCGUAUUGGCUGACUGAUGCAGGAUUUCACAAGGGUCGGCAACGAUUCUUGUUAAACUCGAUCUCAAAUCAAGUAAGACUACCCGCUGAACUUAAGCAUAUCAAUAAGCGGAGGA
rnacentral:misc_RNA from 1 species